AUUGAACGCUGGCGGUAGGCCUAACACAUGCAAGUCGAACGACAGCACAGUAAGAGCUUGCUCUUACGGGUGGCGAGUGGCGGACGGGUGAGGAAUACAUCGGAAUCUACUUUUUCGUGGGGGAUAACGUAGGGAAACUUACGCUAAUACAGCAUACGACCUACGGGUGAAAGCAGGGGAUCUUCGGACCUUGCGCGAUUGAAUGAGCCGAUGUCGGAUUAGCUAGUUGGCGGGGUAAAGGCCCACCAAGGCGACGAUCCGUAGCUGGUCUGAGAGGAUGAUCAGCCACACUGGAACUGAGACACGGUCCAGACUCCUACGGGAGGCAGCAGUGGGGAAUUUUGGACAAUGGGCGCAAGCCUGAUCCAGCCAUACCGCGUGGGUGAAGAAGGCCUUCGGGUUGUAAAGCCCUUUUGUUGGGAAAGAAAAGCAGCAGGUUAAUACCCCGCUGUUCUGACGGUACCCAAAGAAUAAGCACCGGCUAACUUCGUG
rnacentral:rRNA from 1 species